rnacentral:rRNA from 1 species
GACGAACGCUGGCGGCGUGCUUAACACAUGCAAGUGGAGCGACGAACCAGGGCUUGCCCUGGGGCAGAGCCGCGAACGGGUGAGUAACACGUGGGUAACCUACCCCGAUGACCGGGACAACCCGAGGAAACUCGGGCUAAUACCGGAUGUUCUCGUUUCUCGUAAGGGAAAUGAGUAAAGAUAGCUUCGGCCUUCGCAUCGGGACGGGCCCGCGGCCCAUUAGCUUGUUGGUGGGGUAACGGCCUACCAAGGCGACGAUGGGUAGCUGGUCUGAGAGGAUGAUCAGCCACACUGGGACUGAGACACGGCCCAGACUCCUACGGGAGGCAGCAGUGGGGAAUAUUGGACAAUGGGCGCAAGCCUGAUCCAGCCAUGCCGCGUGGAUGAUGAAGGCCCUAGGGUUGUAAAGUCCUUUCGACGGGGAAGAUAAUGACGGUACCAGCAGAAGAAGCCCCGGCUAACUCCGUGCCAGCAGCCGCGGUAAC